UACGUAGGGUGCGAGCGUUGUCCGGAAUUAUUGGGCGUAAAGAGCUCGUAGGCGGCCUGUCGCGUCGGAUGUGAAAGCCCGGGGCUUAACCCCGGGUCUGCAUUCGAUACGGGCAGGCUGGAGUGUGGUAGGGGAGAUCGGAAUUCCUGGUGUAGCGGUGAAAUGCGCAGAUAUCGGGAGGAACACCGGUGGCGAAGGCGGUUCUCUGGGCCUGUACUGACGCUGAGGAGCGAAAGCGUGGGGAGCAAACAGG
rnacentral:rRNA from 1 species